ACAUGCCUACAACAUAGCGUUAAUGCACCAAAUCCCAUUAGAACUCUGCAGUUAAAAACGCUCUGGCUAGAUUAGUAUUGGGAUGGGUGGCUGCCAUGGAAAUCCUAGUAUUUUGCAUGCC
rnacentral:rRNA from 1 species